rnacentral:hammerhead_ribozyme from 1 species
AUCCAGAUGACGAGUCCCAAAUAGGAUGAAACACGUGUCCUGAAU